UGCCCAGCAACUCCUAUCUCUACCUCCUCGUGGUAAUUGCCGGGGUACGAGUAACCUUAGGGAAGAUCGGGUAACCAACCCCCGGUGGGAACUUUGGUCGUAUGCUGACAGGGAAGG
rnacentral:ribozyme from 1 species